rnacentral:rRNA from 1 species
GACGAACGCUGGCGGCGUGCUUAACACAUGCAAGUCGAACGGAAAGGCCCUGCUUUUGUGGGGUGCUCGAGUGGCGAACGGGUGGGUAACACGUGAGUAACCUGCCCUUGACUUUGGGAUAACUUCAGGAAACUGGGGCUAAUACCGGAUAGGAGCUCCUGCUGCAUGGUGGGGGUUGGAAAGUUUCGGCGGUUGGGAUGGAAUCGCGGCUUAUCAGCUUGUUGGUGGGGGAGUGGCUUACCAAGGCUUUGACGGGUAGCCGGCCUGAGAGGGUGACCGGCCACAUUGGGACUGAGAGACGGCCCAGACUCCUACGGGAGGCAGCAGUGGGGAAUAUUGCACAAUGGGCGGAAGCCUGAUGCAGCAACGCCGCGUGCGGGAUGACGGCCUUCGGGUUGUAAACCGCUUACGCCUGUGACGAAGCGUGAGUGACGGUAAUGGGUAAAGAAGCACCGGCUAACUACGUG